rnacentral:lncRNA from 1 species
GACUAAGCCCAACCCCUGAUCAAAUCAGGGACCAAACCAUCUUGACGAUUAGGUCAACUCUUAACCUAAUCGGGUCAAACCCAACUGAAUCCAAUUCAAUUGGACUGGAUCCAAAAAUAAUUACUCAAUCAAAUUGAGUUAAUUAGUGAUCAAAUCACUAAUUAAACCUCUCAUAAAUACUGAGUCCAAAUUCGAUGGACAAUCGGGCAUCAGAAUUCAUCGAUAUGUAACCCUGAUCGAAAAGUCCCAACCAGUGGGACUCUUGAUCCCGAUAUCCAUAAUGUGUGGAACUCGUGAUCAGAGAAUCCUGAUUCUCGAUCAUUGAGUCUCAAACAUGUAGGAUUCUAUAUCAGCCAUCAGAUCAGAUAGGAACAUCUAAUGUGUGUGACCCCGCAGGUUCGAACCUAAGCCGGUAGCACAGGAAUCAAUUCCUGUACUAAUCGAAGUGACCAUCUAGCAAUGGUACCCGACGUCCGG